AAAUUAUCAAAAUAAUAUGUAUGAAAUUGAAUAUAAAUAUUAUAACUCAGUCGAAAGUUUUCUUUAAUCUACUUUUUGACCCGUUAUAAUAUUUGUUCAUGUAUUGAACAGUUUAUAUUCGUUUUUAAUAAUUCAAAUCAUGGCAUAUGCGAAACAAUUAUAAUUUGUUUUAUAUACCGAUGAUAUGAUGAUAUUAUUUGUUUCGCAAAAAUAGAAUCCCAUAAAGAUCUACAUAUACAUUUUUGCAGCCAUUUUGUGAAAUAAAUCCUAGAGUUGGAACUUAUUUAUAAUGGCUGCCACAUCUUUUUAAUUAUUAAUUUUCUUUUGGCAAUAAAUUGAUUAACAAACAAAAAAUAUUCCAAAUAUAUUUCAAUCCCAUAUAUCACGCAGAUUUCUCUAAAAUUUGAACUAGAUUUCGGAAACUAUUUAAGACAAAAAAUAUUUGACAAACCAAAAUACAAUUGCAAUCCAUUAAAAUGAGCAAAACGCACCUAAAUACAUUUCUUAUCAGUUCACAAAUCUUCUUUCUCCAAUAUUUGAAUUAGAUUUCGACAACUAUUUAAAACAAAAAUUUA
rnacentral:sRNA from 1 species